GUUUAAAGAAAAAAUAUUCUAUGAUUCGAAAAUGGGUCACACUUGUGUGAGAUUGUCUCACGGAUCCUUAUUCGUGAGACGGAUCAGGUCGGAUCAAGUCAAUAUGUAUGCAAA